rnacentral:misc_RNA from 1 species
GUCGAAGCAGGAGACAACAACAGAGACAUUGAGGUGGCUCCGGCCUUGAUUAGUGUUCAUCCCAACCAGAAUUCCGUCGCAGUCGCCGUCGGAUCGGACCCUUCGACCUCCGAGGGGGUUGCGGGGUAUCUUUGGUGGAUGAUUCUGCUCAGCCUUUUCAUAAGGAUUCAAUAAGAGCUAUUCGCUAUAGUGCAAAUGGGAAGC